AUGGAGGAAGAAAUAUGUUAUUCUGCUGUUGUUAUUAAAAAAGGAAAACCUUGUUCAGAAGAGAAAGAAGAAACAAUUUAUUCCGAAGUGAAACGUGGAAAAACGGAGGUCGUUCUGACUGAACCAACUGAAGCAGUGCUCCGGCCUCACCUGUUACGGGUGUGUUUGAUGAUCCUCUUCUUCCUCUUGGUCGGCAGCAUUGCCGCCAUCAUUUACAUUGGCGUGGAGAUGAAGAAACAGCAGGCCGACCUGAGAACCCUCACUGCAGUGAACCAGCAGCUGAUGGUGGAGAAGAGAACCCUGCAGAACCAGACCCAGGAACUGAACAGAACCAGAGAGAAUCUGAAUCGAAUGCUGGGAGUCAUCCUGACCUUCGACAACUUCCCAGUGAAAGACUUCUGUCCCAACAAGAGUGAGCUCUGCUUCUUUUGGAUCCAGUACAGAACAUAA
rnacentral:lncRNA from 1 species